GCCAUGCAUGUGUUAGUAUAAACGAUUUUAUACUGUAAAACUGCGAACGGCUCAUUAUAUCAGUUAUAGUUUAUUUGAUACUUUUUCACUAUUGGAUAACCGUAGUAAUUCUAGAGCUAAUACAUGCUUACAAUCCCAACUCACGGCGGGAUGUAUUUAUUAGAUUUCAAUCAACAUUAAUUGCUGACUCAUGAUAACUAAGCGGAUCGCAGAGGCCUCGUGCCGGCGACAAAUCAUUCAAGUUUCUGCCCUAUCAGCUUUCGAUGGUAGUGUAUUGGACUACCAUGGCAUUAACGGGUAACGGAGAAUUAGGGUUCGAUUCCGGAGAGGGAGCCUGAGAAACGGCUACCACUUCUAAGGAAGGCAGCAGGUGCGCAAAUUACCCAAUCCCAACUCUGGGAGGUAGUGACAAUACAUAUCAAUGCCGGGCCUUUUAGGCUUCGGCAAUUGGAAUGAGAACAAUCUAAAACCCUUAACGAAUUCCAUUGGAGGGCAAGUCUGGU
rnacentral:rRNA from 1 species